rnacentral:rRNA from 1 species
AACGAACGCUGGCGGCAUGCCUAACACAUGCAAGUCGAACGAGACCUUCGGGUCUAGUGGCGCACGGGUGCGUAACGCGUGGGAACCUGCCCUUAGGUUCGGAAUAACUCCCCGAAAGGGGUGCUAAUACCGGAUAAUGUCUUCGGACCAAAGAUUUAUCGCCUUUGGAUGGGCCCGCGUUGGAUUAGCUAGUUGGUAGGGUAAAAGCCUACCAAGGCGACGAUCCAUAGCUGGUCUGAGAGGAUGAUCAGCCACACUGGGACUGAGACACGGCCCAGACUCCUACGCAUGGCAGCAGUGGAGAAUAUUGGACAAUGGGCGAAAGCCUAAUCCAGCAAUGCCGCGUGAGUGAUGAAGGCCUUAGGGUUGUAAAGCUCUUUUACCCGGGAUGAUAAUGACAGUACCGGGAGAAUAAGCUCCGGCUAACUCCGUG